GAUGAUUAGUUCUGAAAUGUAACAGGAAACAGCAGUGAAGUCCCAGACACAUCCGUUAUGAACUCCUAUCCUAAGUGCUAGGCAAAAAAUAAAAAAAAAAGAUUUCUGUUCUGUGGGAAAUUUUACUGGGGCUUAAAGUAUGACAAUUCAUAUAAGAUUUCAAGUGCAGAAUCAAAGACAUAUAACCAUAAUAAAAUGUAAAAUCACAAGCCCUCAGAAUGAGAAGGGAUGUCAAGGAAAAUGCCUUCCCUCUCUCCACCUCUCUGAAUGCAGAACACUGAAGCUUCUGUGCAUCUGGUGAGCACGUGGUACAGAAUUGCAAGUUUCAUGAGCCCUGAUUAACUUCCCAUAGAGGCUGGCUGUGUUAGACUUUUGCUAAGGCCAAGAGUUUUAUUUUGUUCUAUCCUAUUUCAUUAUUAUAAAAAUCUGGAGGUUGCUUAUUAUUAUGAACUCCUGUUUGAAGAUAUGGAAAUGAG
rnacentral:lncRNA from 1 species